GUCAUUACCACAUAAUACUAAUUUAUCCACGUAUUAAAAAUAGCUUGUCCCACUGAUUCAAUAUUGAAUCGCCUAUAUGGUUCCUGUGACUGCAUAUGCUUUUCUAUAACUUUCUACUGAAAUAUUUAGUUCUUGAUAAUUUCUUCUGUGAUAUAGCUGUGGAAAAAAUGUUUAAUUCUGGGACAUAUAAAUUGAUGUAUCUCUUGCCAAACGUGCCAAUUAUAUGACAUCUUUUUCAUAACUCCUGUGGAAAACUGGGUUAGAAUAUGUCCUCAGUACCCCUUGCUUGUCGUAAGAGUUGACUAAAUGGGUCCUUCAGACAAGUUCGCAAAAACAGAGGUGUCACAGCAGGUGUGGCACGUUAAAGCUCAAAGGCCGUAAGCACCAAGCAUAGGCCUUUAAAUACUGCAGCCCUUUACCGGCAAUGGUGAUGCAUGUCUCCAUAUGACUGAAAAAUUCUUGAGAGGGGCAUUAAACAAUAUACAAUUAAUCUUGAAGGAGUAGGAGUAAUUAUUGUUCUUAGAGAUUUAUGAAAUAUAACAAAUCGUGUAAUAAGAAUUUAUAACAUUUUUUUUUUCUGCAUCCAAAAUGAAUGCAUGUACACAUUUUUUAUUGUUUUAGAGGAGGAAAGUGUCGAUUGGGUUAAGACUGAUCUGUACAAAAGUGGUUUUUCUGUUGGACACAUUUCAAAUACAAUGGAGGAACAAUCCUGCACAUCAUUUGUGGAAACGGAAGAGUUAGAGGCAGAACAGGAGGAACAAUCAUGAACAUCAUUAGUUGAAAUGGGAGAGUUAGAGGCAGAACAGUCAUUUCACCCAAGGAGGCAUGCAUAUGGAUUUAGGCUGUGAAAAAGAACCCAAAACAAAAUGGCGGCUGGUGAAUUAGAUAAAAUUUCUGACUGUAGGAUCUGAACGGAGAAUAGGAAUACUGCAUCCCAUCUGACCCUGCAGAAAGAAAGACCUCUGGCAAAGACAAGAACAAAGGAGGAAGAACAUUUCUGGAAAUUUAUGAAAUCUUCAGUGUGUUUGAACACAGGAGCUAUGAUAUCCAUUCUGGUUGCCUCGGGAUCGAUUCUUGUGACUAUAGAAAAUUGGAAAUUCAAAUGUUGGUUAUUUUACACUUUAAAAGUGCUUACUGUUUAGUCCAAUAUCUUGAUAAAUCUAGUCUUUUAUGAUUUUCCAGGCAAAUUAAAUCUCCAACACAUGUAUACAUUUUUUGAUAAAUUACCCCAAGGACCCUAUAUUUUUUCAAAAGCAAUAUAUAUCUGAAGUAAAUAAAACCAUUUUUGUUGGGUCACACAAUGAAUAGAAAUGACAGAUGUAGUGCUUUUAUCAUGGAAUUUCUGUAAACAGAUGAUAUUUUUUACACAGGUUUUAGCUCACCUGAGCCAAAAGCUCAAGUAAGCUUUUCUGAUCAAAAUUUGUCCGUUGUCUGUCGUCGUCGUAAAUUUUUCACGUUUUCGACUUCUUCUCAAGAACCGUUGGCCAAUUUCAACCAAACUUGUCACAAAACAUCCUUGGGUGAGGGACUUUCAAGUUUGUUCAAAUUAAGGGCCAUGUCCCAUUCAAUGGGAAGAUAAUCAAAAAAUGCAAAAAUAGGGUGGGGUCAUUUAAAAAUCUUCUUGUCAAGAACCACUGGACCAGAAAAGCUGAAAUUUACAGGAAAGCUUCCUGAUAUAGUGCAGAUUCAAGUUUGUUCAAAUCAUGGCCCCUGGAGAUUGGAUGGGGCCACAAUAGGGGAUUAAAGUUUUACAUACUGAUAUAUAGGAUAAAUCUUUAAAAAUCUUCUUCUCAAGAACUACUGAGCCAGAAAAGCUGAUAUUUACAUGAAAGCUAUCUGACAUAAUGCAAAUUCAAGAUUGUUCAAAUCAUGGCCCCUGGGGUAUAAUGGGGUUGCAAUAGGGGAUCAAAGUUUUACCUGCAAAUAUAUAGGAAAAAUGUUUAAAAUUGUUCUUCUCAAGAACCACUGGGCCAGAAAAGCUUAUAUUUACAUCAAAGCUUCCUGACAUAAUGCAGAUUCAAGUUUGUUCAAAUCAUGGCCCCUGAGGGUAUGAUGGGUCCACAUUAGGGGAUCAAAGUUUUACAUACGAAUAUAUAAGGAAAACCUUCUUCUCAAAAACCACUGAGCCAGAAAAGCUGAUAUUUACAUGAAAGCUCUCUGACAUAUAUUUCAGAUUUCAGUUUGUUAAAAUCAUGAUCCCCAGGGUAGGAUGGGGUCACAAGGGGGAUCAAAGUUUUACUUACAAAUAUAUAGGGAAAAUCUUUAAAUAUGAGCUAAGGUGACUCAGGUGAGUGAUGUGGCCCUUGGGCCUCUUGUUUAAAGCCUUUCAUAAUUACCAAAUUAAAAAAUUGGUCUGCAACUGGAAGGUACAAACGCAUCCAUUAUCAUUUUGAAUAUUCAUAACCUAGUAUGUUCUGUUGCCAUGUUUUGUUUAGAAUUUUGUUCAGAGAAAUGUAGUUCAAAUGAUCACAAAAUAUACACUGUCAUUGGUUUUGGUAUACAUAUAAAAGGUAAAUCCUGGUUUACCAUGUUCAUAAUAUAUGUCAUGCAAUAGAACUAAGUGCUCUGUUGUUUAAACUGUGUAUUGUUAUAGGAUUUUUGUGUAGUGUUUAUGACUAUCUCAUGUGAGCAUUACUGCCUAUGAUUUUUUUUCUUUAAAUAUAAUUGUUUUGAAAAUAUGUUGAUAAAUGACCACUACAGUUUGAUUCAUAUGUAUAUUAUCUGAGUUCAGAAUGUUCUCUUGUGUUUUGUCUUAUUGAGAUGAUAUAUUGUGCUCUUUGACUUAAUGAUGCUGCUUUAAGGCAUACUUGUUGGACCUAUAGUGUAUUCAUUUUCAAAUGUAUUGAAAUAUAUUUUUUGAUAAUAAUGAGGCAAUGCUAUACUUGUUAGGGUAGUAAUGCACCAGUAAUUCAAAUGUACAUUGAUGUCUUACCCGAAUGUUUUUAUUUGGUUACAAUUCUGGUUUUUGAUAAGAAUUUUAGGUCAUAUAGGUAAUCUCUGGUGACCUGUCUUCUGAGUAAAUUCAGGUAACAAUUGAACAUUUUGUAAGAAAUAUGUAUGCAUAGUCAGGUAGAGGAGGAAGGCCUUUACUAAAAUGUAGAUGUCGUAAUCCAUGGGGUAGGGUUUCUGACUCUGGGGUAAGACCAAGCUUGGUAUACAUAGUGCAUAUGUGUUAAAGGCAUAGGAUCUAUCUUUUAUCUCAAAAAUGACAUCACACUAUUUUGCAAGAAGAACUCCAGAAAACAAAUUUGUAGUAUUAAUUAUGAGUUAUCUAUAGCUGCAGCGCUUUGAAAUUGAAAUCAUUUUGACUUUUUAGCCCUAUUUAAAAUUUUUGUCAGGAGGACAAUAUAUUAAACUGGUACCCUGCUGAUUGCUGGCUACACACAAACAUAAGAAAUGCAAAAUCAACAGGGUACCAAGGCAAACGAGAACAGGGAAUUAUUUUGUAAUUACUAUCGUUAUCCAAUGUGUUUGUAAACAUUCUGAAGAACUUUGUGUGAUUUUCUAGUUAAUAUGAUCUUAAAUUUCGCCAUCUUUUUGGAACAUGCAACAUUUCACCAAUAUCUUAGACCCUAUGCCUUUAAGGUAAUUCCACCCCUGUAGAAUUAUAGGUUCAAUCUUAUAUUUGAUUAAUGAUUAUCUUAGUAACAAAUAAAAAUGAUAAGAUAAGUAUGUUGCAGCAUUGAUAAAAAGAUUUAUUAAUUAGCACGCAUAUACCUGUUAUUGAUGUCAGAAAAUUACAAUUGUCCUUAAAUACAUUUCAUUAUCACAAAAACUUGUUAAAACAAUAUAAUGGUAUUCAUAACAAUUUCAUGAAACUGUUUCUUAAAAAAAAAUAUACAAUAUGUGUGUGAAAAGUAAAAUAUAUCUAUGCAUAAAAAAUUGAUAAAUAAUUUAAUGAAAAAGGAGUUAUUACCCUUGGAUUUGGUAUUUCGAAACUCAUACGUGACUUUUGAAAUGUCUUAUGGUUAACAAGAUAUUUUACAAUAACUAUUGAAAAAGACUUCAACAAAAUUUAUGUUCCCAUUAUGCAUAAAUCUUAUCAAAUCAUUGACUUUGCGAAAUGGUAUGACAUCACAGGAGAGUGGAACUACGUUACACAAUUAUAAAAUAUUUUUUUAGCUCACCUGAGCUGAAAGAUCAAGUGAGCUUUUCUGAUCGCUUUUUGUCCGUCGUCUGUCUGUCUGUCCGUCUGUCUGUCUGUCUGUCAAACAUUUACAUUUUCAACUUCUUCUCCAAAACCACUGGGCCAAUUUUAACCAAUGUUUGCACAAAUCAUCCUUAAGUGAAGGGGAAUCAAAAUUGUUCAAAUGAGGGCCAACCUCCUUAUCCAAGGGGAGAUAAUAGCAAAUCAGUGAAAAUACACUGACAUUUUUUAAAAAUCUUCUUCUCCAGAACCAGUAAGCCAAUUUCAUUCAAACUUAAUGCAAAUCAUCCUUAGUUGAAGGGAAUUCAAAAUUGUUCAAAUUAAGGGCCAGGUUUUCUUCAAAGGGGAGAUCAUCACAAAAGUGUAGAAAUAGGGUGGGGUCAUUUAAAAAUCUUCUUUUCAUGAACCACUGUGCCAGUAUAGUUGAAAUUUACGUGGAAGUUUGCUGACAUAAUGGAGAUUCAAGUUUGUUCAUAUCAUGGCCCCCAGGAGUCGGAUGGCGCCACAAUAGGGGAAACCAUAUUUUAUAUGUAUUUAUAUAGGAAAAAUCUUUUAAAAUCUUCUUCUCAAGAACCAUUGAGCCAGAAGAUUUCGAAUUUACAUGGAAGCUUCCUGACAUAAUGCAGAUUCAAGUUGUUCAUAUCAUGGCCCCCAUGGGUCGGGUGGGGCCACAAUAGGGGAAACCAUAUUUUAUAUGUGUUUAUAUAGGAAAAAUCUUUUAAAAUCUUCUUCUCAAGAACCAUUGAGCCAGAAGAGUUCAACUUUACAUGGAAGCUUCCUGACAUAAUGCAGAUUCAAAUUUGUUCAUAUCAUGGCCCCUGGGGGUCGGGUGGGGCCACACUAGGGGAAACCACAUUUUAUAUGUAUUUAUAUAGGAAAAAUCUUCUCAAGAACCAUUGAGCCAGAAGAGUUCAAAUUCAUAUCGAAGUUUCCUGACAUAGUUCAGAUUCAAGUUUGAAGCUUUAUGACAUAGUUCAAAUUCAAGUUUGUUGAAAUCAUGACCCCCGGGGUGUCAGGUUUUGCCACAAUAAGGGAAACCGUAUUUCCUAUGAGUAAAUAUAUGAUAACUCAGGUGAGCGAUGUGGCCCAUGUGCCUCUUGUUUAAAGGUUGAUAUUAACAUGAAUCUAAAUUAAUAUGUGGUAGUCCUUAACCAAAAUUGUAAAAUACAUGAUUUCCUGGACAAGGGUUUAGUUUCCAGGAUAAGGCCAAGAUUAUAGUAGCAACUAUUGUCUUUAUUGUGAUAUGGUAAAUAACUAAAUGCAUGCUUAUUAGAAGCAGAACAGGAUAUACCAAAGUGGUGAUUUACACAACCCCAGGGUUUUGACUGUACACAGGUACAAAGUAGUCAUAUUAUUUAAUGUUGUAUAUAUAACAUCCCUUAUUAGUGAAAUAUUCUCGAGAGGGACGUUAAACAAUACACAAUCAAUCAUCUGGACUGUAUAGGCACUUUCGGGGCAUUUAAGUUUUAUGAACACAUCUUGUUUUAUUCUGUUUUGUAUGUUAGGAUUUAAUUUAGGUAUGCAAAACAGGAAUUUUUCUCAAGAUUUCAUAAUCCUUGGGGCUAGUGAUACUUUCAAUUAAUUCUCAUGUACCCAAUAAGGCCUGUGGGCCUUUUAUUUCAUGAAAUACAUUAAAUUCUGAUUGAUAUGUCUUUUGUAAUUUUUCAUGAAAUGGAUGGAAAUCCUGUAUGUUUUAUUAAUAUUUGACCAGUAACCAUACUUGAAAAUUAUUUGUAUGACAUGCCAGUUUUUGCUACUAAGUAACAAUUAUAUAAUGAAUAAAUUUCAUGUUAAAGUUAACUUUUAAA